rnacentral:rRNA from 1 species
UUCGGGUCACGUACAUCCGAGGGUCG